ACGUAGGUGGCAAGCGUUGUCCGGAAUUACUGGGUGUAAAGGGAGCGUAGGCGGGAAAGCAAGUUGAAUGUUUAAACUAUCGGCUCAACCGAUAAUCGCGUUCAAAACUGUUUUUCUUGAGUGAAGUAGAGGUAGGCGGAAUUCCUAGUGUAGCGGUGAAAUGCGUAGAUAUUAGGAGGAACACCAGUGGCGAAGGCGGCCUACUGGGCUUUAACUGACGCUGAGGCUCGAAAGCGUGGGUAGCAAACAG
rnacentral:rRNA from 1 species